rnacentral:misc_RNA from 1 species
CCAGCCGAGAUACUUUGGCAGCGUAAUGGCUGCUGCCAGUGAGGCCGACCGAGACGCGCGUGCAGAAUAGCGAAAGCGCCGCUCGGCAGCUGCGACGCCCUCGCGCGCACAACGGAGAAGCAAAAUAGCCACCGUUGUCGCCACUUCUGGGGCUCCGGCCCGCCUGACACCCGCUUGCGGCCAUGUCCCUCGAGCGAGGAGUUGACGCCUUCGGGUCGACCAACAGCGACAUCCGGUGGGACUACGAAAGCGGCGCUGCGCUGUCGGAUAGCGGCGACGCAGGUGAGCCUCUCAUUCAAGGAAGCGACGGCGGCGCCAUGCGUCGCUCUCUGUGGGUCCGUCUCAGGAAGCGCGCCUGGAUCGUGCCGGUGAUUUACACGCACUUCUGGGCGGCGGCCGUCAUGUCGCUCGUGGCACCUUUCUUUCCGCCGCUCGCGGACUCCAGAGGUAUACCAGCGUGGAAAUAUGGCUUUUUUUUCUCAACCAUGAAACUUACGAUGCUUCCAGGAGCUGUGAUAGCCGAAAAAUUGAUCUCGGGUGUCUCCGCCAGGGCUGGCUACCUAGGUGGACAAGUAACCACAUCAUUAUUCUGUAUCAUAUGCGGCCUUCUCUACUGGAUAAAGAGUGGCAACCUACUGUUGGGCGUCUCUCUGCUCAUGGCAGCUUUCGGCGGCUGCUGUAACACAGUCUACAGCGUUUGCUUGUACACUCUACUUACCUCAAGAUUUCAAGACGACGGCGGUAUGCUCAUCGGCCUGAUGGAAUGCCUCUGGGGAGCAGGCACGUUGGUUGGAUCGUCCAUCGGCGGGGCUCUCAUUGACCUUUGGGCGUUUCCUCUCCCUUUCUUCGUCAUCGGAGGUGUUCUACUUCUGUCAUUACCCUUCAUGGCACUAAUAAAUCCCAAGAGCUCCAAACAUGACAGCCCAACAAACGAUAGGGUGCUGCAACACCAAGGUGCGGAGAAGAAAUACUGGCACCUCAUUUUUGAUUUUAUAUUUAUAGUUAAUCUUUUCACCGUCAUGAUAAGUUGGGCUAUGACCAGCUUCAACGAACCAACAUUGGAACCACAUCUACGUCAGUUUAAGAUGUCAAGCACAGAAGUAGGAACUGUAUUCACAGUUCAGUUCAUUGGAUACUCCAUUGGUGCUUUACUUGGAGGUCUCUUCGCCAAGUUCAAGGUGGAACCAUUCAUGAACUUUUUCGGGACGUUGCUGUCCACGAUAGGGUACAUCAUACUCGGCCCGAUUCCGAUCAUACCAAUUCCGCCGUGUUCAUUGGCGUCGGCAUGGCAGCCACAUAUGUCAGCCCCUACAUGCAUGCCCUCAGACAUGCCAUUGAAAACGCAGGUUACCCCGACAAUGAGAAAACCCACGGAGUAGUCACAAGUGCCACUUACCAGUUCAUGGUCUUCGGCGCCGUCGUAACUUCUCCCUUGGCGGGCUUUGUGACCCAGAGGCUGGGCUUUCCAUUUUCUUCCAUGAUUUUCGCCGGUUUUCUGGCUUUUUGGACCAUCGUGACGGGUCUUGUGUGGUUGCACCUAGAUUACUCACUUUUCGGCAAGCAGCGACCACCGGACUUCCAAAAACAGCCUGUGAUGGAGGAUGAAGACAAGGCGCAGACGGCGCCCAACUCUUCGUGAUCUUACUGAAAAGUAUCAGUCAUUCGCGGAGUACAUCUCAUCUAGAAGUGUAUACAGUGCUCUAGUUGUGUAAAUAAGCAAAACUGGACACGUGAAACCUUAUCUGUGAUUUUACGCGGAAGCGAUUGUGGUUGUGCGUGCGUAGCACGCGCUGAAGCGACGCGGACAAGCCAGAGACGUUCGCAUAAUUUUGGUCGCGCUUAGGUAACAGUUCCUUUUUUUUUCUAUCUCUCAGCAGAAUUGAUGCAAAGAAAGCGUGAAAGUAUCGUAUUAAAUGUUAAGUAAAAACCUUGAAAGAA